rnacentral:rRNA from 1 species
GACGUAGGGCGCGAGCGUUGUCCGGAUUUAUUGGGCGUAAAGAGCUCGUAGGCGGCUCGUUGCGUCCAUCGUGAAAACUCAGGGCUUAACUCUGAGCUUGCGGUGGAUACGGGCGGGCUAGAGUUCGGUAGGGGAGACUGGAAUUCCUGGUGUAGCGGUGAAAUGCGCAGAUAUCAGGAGGAACACCGGUGGCGAAGGCGGCUCGCUGGGCCAUUCCUGACGCUGAGACGCGAAAGCUAGGGGAGCGAACAGG